rnacentral:rRNA from 1 species
AUUGAACGCUGGCGGCAGGCCUAACACAUGCAAGUCGAGCGAGCGGCGGACGGGUGAGUAAUGUCUGGGGACUGCCCGAUAGAGGGGGAUAACUACUGGAAACGGUGGCUAAUACCGCAUACUGUCGGAUAACCCAUAUGGGAUUAGUUAGUAGGUAAGGGAAUGGCUUACCUAGGGGACGAUCCCAAGCUGGUCUGAGAGGGUGAUCAGCAAAACUUGGACUGGAACCGGGCCCAGAUCCCUUCGGGGGCAGCAGUUGGGAAGUGUGCACAAUGGGCGCAAGCCGUAUGCCGCCAUGCCGCGUGUAUGAAGAAGGCCCUAGGGUUGUAAAGUACUUUCAGUCGGGAGGCGUUACCGACAGAAGAAGCACCGGCUAACUCCGUGCCAGCAGCCGCGGUAAUA